rnacentral:lncRNA from 1 species
CAUGUAUGAACAAAGUUGCCCUGUAUUUUACUUUGAAGUAGCCACAUAGUUUGCACGGGGAUGCAAAUCAAAAAGUCAGUUUACAUGGCAGCUGUUGCCACAUGAAACAUCUGCCUGUUUACUUUGAAGUCACCAUCCCAUAUUUUGCAGGUCACACUGUAAUGCAUGAUUGUUUUGUCGGAAGACAUAUCCAUAUGCUUGUUGAUGUAGUCAAUCCCACAUGCAACUACAAUCGUCGACAUUUUACCGAGUGGCCUCACAGACUCGGCAAGAUCACCCAGGUCGACGUACGUUGCUUCGCAUUGAAUGACCUUGGUUCUGU